rnacentral:lncRNA from 1 species
GGAAGACAAAAUCAAAGCUAAUCACAAUCCAUUUUCCACCCCUUUGAUCAAAGCAAGAAUUCCAUUUUUGGUACUUCAUAUUAUUGUUACAGGCCAAUUUUGGGCUGAUUACAAACCUAAACUAACCCACAAAGCCCAAUCACAUUCAGCUAAACCCAAUUACUCAUUUGCCCAUUUUAAACCCCAAAACCCAAAUGGCCUUUUUCAUAACUCAAAACCCAACAAAUUAAAACCUAACCUACCCAACUAACUACCCAAACCCAGAGGUCCAAUUAUAAACCCAAAUUCAUUUUAAAACCAACAGCCCAAUACCCUAACCCUAAGCUAACCACCGAAACCCUAGCCCCUAAAUUCGGCCAACUCCCACUUACCCACUUGCAACC